rnacentral:rRNA from 1 species
UACGUAGGGGGCUAGCGUUGUCCGGAAUCAUUGGGCGUAAAGAGCGUGUAGGCGGCCCGGUAAGUCCGCUGUAAAAGUCAAAGGCUCAACCUUUGAAUGUCAGUGGAUACUGCCGGGCUAGAGUCCGGAAGAGGCGAGUGGAACUCCUGGUGUAGCGGUGGAAUGCGCAGAUAUCAGGAGGAACACCGGUGGCGAAGGCGGGUCUCUGGGCAACAACUGACGCUGAGGAGCGAAAGCGUGGGGAGCGAACAGG